GACGAACCGUGCGAACGUUAUUCGGAAUCAUUGGGCUUAAAGGGCGCGUAGGCGGCGGUGUAAGUUGGAAGUGAAAUCCCAUCGGCUCAACCGUGGAAUUGCUCCCAGUACUGCAUCGCUCGAGGGGGAUAGGGGUUUGCGGAACUACCGGUGGAGCGGUGAAAUGUGUUGAUAUCGGUGGGAACGCCAGUGGCGAAAGCGGCAAACGUGACCCUUCCUGACGCUGAGGCGCGAAAGCUAGGGGAGCAAACGGG
rnacentral:rRNA from 1 species